GCCGGCAGCUAGCUCUCUGCAACUCUUACAUGGUCGCCUCCUGAAGCUAAGCAAGGCUGCGCCCGGUAUACCUGGAUGGGAGACCACAUGGGAAAGCUAGGUUGCUGCCGGAA
rnacentral:rRNA from 1 species